UACGGAGGAUGCAAGCGUUAUCCGGAAUGAUUGGGCGUAAAGCGUCCGCAGGUGGCAAUGUAAGUCUGCUGUCAAAGCGUCUGGCUCAACCAGAUAAAGGCAGUGGAAACUACAUAGCUAGAGUAUGGUAGGGGUAGAGGGAAUUCCUGGUGUAGCGGUGAAAUGCGUAGAGAUCAGGAAGAACACCGGUGGCGAAAGCGCUCUGCUGGACCUUAACUGACACUGAGGGACGAAAGCUAGGGGAGCGAAUGGG
rnacentral:rRNA from 1 species